AGCGGGUUGGCGCAGUCGGCAGCGCGGGGGCCUCAUAAGCCCUAGGUCACGGGUUCGAAUCCCGUACCCGCCA
rnacentral:tRNA from 1 species